GACGAAGGAUCCAAGCGUUAUCCGGAUUCAUUGGGUUUAAAGGGUGCGUAGGCGGCCUUGUAAGUCAGUGGUGAAAUCUCCUCGCUUAACGAGGAAACUGCCAUUGAUACUGCUAGGCUUGAGUACAGAUGCUGUGGGCGGAAUAUGACAUGUAGUGGUGAAAUACAUAGAGAUGUCAUAGAACACCGAUUGCGAAGGCAGCUCACAAAACUGUAACUGACGCUGAGGCACGAAAGUGCGGGGAUCAAACAGG
rnacentral:rRNA from 1 species